GGACUCAUGUGAUUGUGUCAGAAUCUCAGCUUUGGUUUGAAGAAGAAUUUUAAAAAAAUGGAAUCUAGCCUCCAUGGUCGUGGAGAAAAACUUGAAAACAUGGCUCGUAAAGAUUUAAAAACUCAAAGACCCACAAACCAAGGGAACUGACUAGACAAGUGCUGUCAUGUCUUCUCAAGAGAGCUGCUGAAGAUGCAAAAAUUGCUGCAAGGGGAGAUACUUAAAGAAAAAUGGGAAAGAUUGCAAAGCUCCUUCCCCCAGCAC